UACGAAGGGGGCUAGCGUUGUUCGGAAUCACUGGGCGUAAAGGGCGCGUAGGCGGCUUUGUAAGUCGGGGGGUGAAAGCCUGUGGCUCAACCACAGAAUUGCCUUCGAUACUGCAUGGCUUGAGACCGGAAGAGGUAAGUGGAACUGCGAGUGUAGAGGUGAAAUUCGUAGAUAUCGGGAGGAACACCGGUGGCGAAGGCGGCGAUCUGGGUAGAUACUGACGCUGAGGUGCGAAAGCGUGGGGAGCAAACAGG
rnacentral:rRNA from 1 species